GACGAACGCUGGCGGCGUGCCUAAUACAUGCAAGUCGAGCGAGUCUGCCUUGAAGAUCGGAGUGCUUGCACUCUGUGAAACAAGAUACAGGCUAGCGGCGGACGGGUGAGUAACACGUGGGUAACCUGCCCAAGAGAUCGGGAUAACACCUGGAAACAGAUGCUAAUACCGGAUAACAACAGAUGAUGCCUAUCAACUGUUUAAAAGAUGGUUCUGCUAUCACUCUUGGAUGGACCUGCGGUGCAUUAGCUAGUUGGUAGGGUAACGGCCUACCAAGGCGAUGAUGCAUAGACGAGUUGAGAGACUGAUCGGCCACAUUAGGACUGAGACACGGCCCAAACUCCUACGGGAGGCAGCAGUAGGGAAUCUUCCACAAUGGACGCAAGUCUGAUGGAGCAACGCCGCGUGAGUGAAGAAGGGGUUCGGCUCGUAAAGCUCUGUUGUUGGUGAAGAAGGACAGGGGUAGUAACUGACCUUUGUUUGACGGUAAUCAAUUAGAAAGUCACGGCUAACUACGUG
rnacentral:rRNA from 1 species